rnacentral:rRNA from 1 species
CCUACGGGUGGCAGCAGUGAGGAAUAUUGGUCAAUGGACGAGAGUCUGAACCAGCCAAGUAGCGUGAAGGAUGACUGCCCUCUGGGUUGUAAACUUCUUUUAUAAAGGAAUAAAACGAGGCACGUGUGCCUUUUUGCAUGUACUUUAUUAAUAAGGAUCGGCUAACUCCGUGCCAGCAGCCGCGGUAAUACGGAGGAUGCGAGCGUUAUCCGGAUUUAUUGGGUUUAAAGUGAGCGUAGAUGGGUUGUUAAGUCAGUUGUGAAAGUUUGCGGCUCAACCGUAAAAUUGCAAUUGAUACUGGCAGGCGUGAGUACAGUUGAGGUAGGCGGAAUUCGUGGUGUAGCGGUGAAAUGCUGAGAGAUCACGAAGAACCCCGAUUGCGAAGGCAGCUUACUAGACUGUGACUGACAUUGAUGCUCGAAAGUGUGGGUAGCAAACAGGAUUAGAUACCCCAGUAGUC